rnacentral:rRNA from 1 species
UGCCAGACUCCUACGGGAGGCAGCAGUGGGGAAUAUUGCACAAUGGGGGAAACCCUGAUGCAGCGACGCCGCGUGAGCGAUGAAGUAUUUCGGUAUGUAAAGCUCUAUCAGCAGGGAAGAAAAUGACGGUACCUGACUAAGAAGCCCCGGCUAACUACGUGCCAGCAGCCGCGGUAAUACGUAGGGGGCAAGCGUUAUCCGGAUUUACUGGGUGUAAAGGGAGCGUAGACGGCUGUGCAAGCCAGAUGUGAAAGCCCGGGGCUCAACCCCGGGACUGCAUUUGGAACUGUGUGGCUGGAGUGUCGGAGAGGCAGGCGGAAUUCCUAGUGUAGCGGUGAAAUGCGUAGAUAUUAGGAGGAACACCAGUGGCGAAGGCGGCCUGUUGGACGAUGACUGACGUUGAGGCUCGAAAGCGUGGGGAGCAAACAGGAUUAGAUACCCCCGUAC